rnacentral:rRNA from 1 species
AUGUGCAAGUGCCCACAAGAUGAGUUCGAUGAUAUAGACAAGCUCACACUACUUAGCCUUGAGUUCACUUGGAGUGCUGAAGAUGAUCCAAUUAGGCCGGUGAUACUAGCUGAAAUGAAGAAGAUCAAGAGUGGGAAUGAGCUAGUGGAAGAAGUAAAGAAGAUUGAGAAGAACAUCAACGCCGGCAGUAGUAUAUCAUCACAACUUGAGCUGAGUAUUUCUGGGAUGUCCCUUGGUACAUGUGAGGUUCCAAUGCCUUCACAUUCAGCUGAGCAAGAUAGGGAGAGCCCAAAGGAAGAAAGACCUCAGAUUGAAGAAGAAAUACUCGAAGACAAGGAACAAGAUGAUCCAGAGCUCGAACAACCAAGUGAUCAAGUUGAAGACUCAUCAUCUACUACUCCCAAAGAAGUAAAAGAAGCUCUUGUAAUUGAACUUGAAGAACCAGAAAUUCAUUUGCCCAUCGUCAUACAAGAGCGUGAUGUAGCAGGUUUAUCUAAUCCUCUCGAUGACAUGCGUCCUUAUGAUUCCCUUUCUUCUACCUUGCAUUACUUGAUACCAUCACUUAAGGUAGAUUUGAGAAAGUAUUUUCUUGUAUACGAUGAUAUAUACCCUGUUUAUGGCAUUGCUCACAUUUGUUAUGAUGACACUUAUUUUCCUCAUGCUAGACCUAUGCUUAAUAAAACAUUUCAUUUUCAUGCUAGUCUGGAGCUUAAUGAUUCAUAUCAUCCUCAUGCUAGCAUUGAACUUACUUAUUUCUACCAUCCUAAACAUGUGCUUUAUAGCUAUGCUUAUGUAAUUGGGUACUCUAUUGAUGAUUUAGAGGGCAUUACCCCUGUCACUGUAUUGUCUCUUUUGUUGAGUGCUUUUUCAGGUUGUUGCUUCUGCAUCGUUCACUUUAUGCUGACCAGGUUCAAGGCGACAUUCCUUGGGACCCUGGCGGAUCCUGAGCAUGGAGAUGAGGAGAAGCAAUGGGCACAUACGCGAGGAAGGGAGAAGGUGGAGAAAGCAUGA